rnacentral:pre_miRNA from 1 species
CGGGGGAGGCGGGAUCCUGGGCUGUGUCCCGGCGCCCUGUGCUCCGGAGCCUGCGCUGCGCUCCCGGGCCGCGCAGCCCCCU